rnacentral:rRNA from 1 species
AGCAGCCGCGGUAAUUCCAGCUCCAAUAGCGUAUAUUAAAGUUGUUGCAGUUAAAAAGCUCGUAGUUGAAUUUCGGGAUCAAUAUGUUGGUCGUGCCUUGGUACGUACUAAUUUAUUGGUUUCUUCCUUCUGACGAACCAUGAUGUCAUUAAUUUGGUGUCUUGAGGAAUCAGGACUGUUACUUUGAAAAAAUUGAGUGUUUAAAGCAGGCUCACGCUUGAAUACAUUAGCAUGGAAUAAUGAAAUAGGACGUUUGAUUCUAUUUUGUUGGUUUCUAGGAUCGACGUAAUGAUUAAUAGGGAUAGUUGGGGGCAUUAGUAUUCAAUUGUCAGAGGUGAAAUUCUUGGAUUUAUUGAAGACUUAACUACUGCGAAAGC